AAACUUAAGGAAUUGACGGGGCCCGCACAAGCGGAGGAACAUGUGGUUUAAUUCGAUGAUACGCGAGGAACCUUACCUGGGCUUAAAUGUAGAGUGCAUUUUUUAGAGAUAGAAAUUCCCUUCGGGGCUUUCUGCAAGGUGCUGCAUGGUUGUCGUCAGCUCGUGCCGUGAGGUGUCGGGUUAAGUCCCAUAACGAGCGCAACCCUUAUCGUUAGUUGCCAUCUGGUAAUGCAGGGGACUCUAGCGAAACUGCCACCGUAAGGUGAGAGGAAGGUGGGGAUGACGUCAAAUCAGCACGGCCCUUAUGUCCAGGGCUACACACGUGUUACAAUGGUCGGUACAGAGGGCAGCUACCUGGUGACAGGAUGCUAAUCUCGAAAACCGGUCUCAGUCCGGAUUGGAGUCUGCAACUCGACUCCAUGAAGUUGGAAUCGCUAGUAAUCGCGGAUCAGCACGCCGCGGUCGAAUACGUUCCCGGGCCUU
rnacentral:rRNA from 1 species